GGUUUCUUGAAUGUAUCUAACAUAAGAAAUCUAGCCUGCCCUAUGAGUAAUUAAAUGGCCGCAGUAUUUUGACUGUGCAAAGGUAGCAUAAUCAAUUGUUUACUAAUUAUAGACUAGAAUGAAAGGUUGGACUUGAAAUUAAUUGUCUUUAAAUUAUUUUGAAUUUUGGAUUUUUAUGAAGAUUUAAAGAUGAAUUUAUAAGACGAGAAGACCCUAUUGAGCUUUAUAUACUAUUUAUAAUAAUGAAUAGAUAGAAUUAUAAAAACUUAUGUUUUGCUGGGGCGGUGAAUAUUAAUUAUAACAAUAUUAUUAAAUUAUAACUUUUAUGUUAAUUUUAGAUCCAAUAGUAUUGAUUAAUAGACUAAGUUACUAUAGGGAUAACAGCGUUAUUUUAUUUUGGAGUUCUUAUCUAUGAUAAAGAUUGCGACCUCGAUGUUGGUUUAGGAUACCUUUAAUUAUUUGGCGCAGUAGCUAUAAAAGGUAGUCUGUUCGACUAUAAAAAUCCUAUA
rnacentral:rRNA from 1 species